GAUGAACGCUGGCGGCGUGCCUAAUACAUGCAAGUCGAGCGAACAGAUGAGGAGCUUGCUCCUCUGACGUUAGCGGCGGACGGGUGAGUAACACGUGGAUAACCUACCUAUAAGACUGGGAUAACUUCGGGAAACCGGAGCUAAUACCGGAUAAUAUAUUGAACCGCAUGGUUCAAUAGUGAAAGACGGUUUUGCUGUCACUUAUAGAUGGAUCCGCGCCGCAUUAGCUAGUUGGUAAGGUAACGGCUUACCAAGGCAACGAUGCGUAGCCGACCUGAGAGGGUGAUCGGCCACACUGGAACUGAGACACGGUCCAGACUCCUACGGUAGGCAGCAGUAGGGAAUCUUCCGCAAUGGGCGAAAGCCUGACGGAGCAACGCCGCGUGAGUGAUGAAGGUCUUCGGAUCGUAAAACUCUGUUAUUAGGGAAGAACAAAUGUGUAAGUAACUAUGCACGUCUUGACGGUACCUAAUCAGAAAGCCACGGCUAACUACGUG
rnacentral:rRNA from 1 species